ACGGGUGAGUAACACGUGGGCAAUCUGCCCUGCACUCUGGGACAAGCCCUGGAAACGGGGUCUAAUACCGGAUAUGACCUUCCUCCGCAUGGGGGUUGGUGUAAAGCUCCGGCGGUGCAGGAUGAGCCCGCGGCCUAUCAGCUUGUUGGUGGGGUAAUGGCCUACCAAGGCGACGACGGGUAGCCGGCCUGAGAGGGCGACCGGCCACACUGGGACUGAGACACGGCCCAGACUCCUACGGGAGGCAGCAGUGGGGAAUAUUGCACAAUGGGCGAAAGCCUGAUGCAGCGACGCCGCGUGAGGGAUGACGGCCUUCGGGUUGUAAACCUCUUUCAGCAGGGAAGAAGCGCAAGUGACGGUACCUGCAGAAGAAGCACCGGCUAACUACGUGCCAGCAGCCGCGGUAAUACGUAGGGUGCGAGCGUUGUCCGGAAUUAUUGGGCGUAAAGAGCUCGUAGGCGGUCUGUCGCGUCGGAUGUGAAAGCCCGGGGCUUAACCCCGGGUCUGCAUUCGAUACGGGCAGACUAGAGUGUGGUAGGGGAGAUCGGAAUUCCUGGUGUAGCGGUGAAAUGCGCAGA
rnacentral:rRNA from 1 species